UCAUUCUUUGCUGAAUCUCGUUUGGCAGAGAAUACCUCUAGAUUUUUUGCAAGGUGGCAAAUUUAGAGCAGCAGUAGAUAAUUACAUUAGGCCUCCCCUAACUAAGGGAGUUCCAUCUCUUUUCUCUGAUCUUUCGUCUUUGUAUAAUCACCCUGGGAAGGCAGACAUUUUGGAAUAACUUAUUCUUGUAUUUUUUCACAGCGCUCUUCAAGCUAAGAGGUAAUUUAGUAAAGGAGGAAUUCAAGAAAUUAUUGUAGCAUUUAUACUGAGCAUCGCAUCUGCUAAAAUAAAUAAAUAUGUCAAAGAGAUUUGAGAUUCAUCAAGAGAAUAAUGAAGGAAGUGGUGGCAAGAGUAGUAAUGAUAAUGAGGGUGAGGAAAAUUCAUUUGACAUGAAUGAAGGAGCGGCUAUGAGUGAUGAUGAGGAAUUGGAAGAAGAGAAUAAUAAUGAAGCAAAGGAGGAGGAGGAGGAUAACAAUGAAGAAGGGAAUUCAGCAAACCCAAGUAGCAGCAGCACAGCAUCAAGAGAAGGGAAGAG